CUGUGAUCCACUUGGUGACCCUUGCAGAAACAACUCAACAUGCUUGACUUUGGUAGAUGGAACUCAUUAUUGUGUGUGUAGAGAAGGAUUUGAGGGUGAACGUUGUGAAAUUAAUGUGAAUGAGUGCUUCUCUCUUCCCCGUCAGAAUAUGGUGACUGUGAAGAUGGGGCCAACAAUUUCAGAUGUGUUUGCAGACCUGGGUUUUCUGGACCUCUAUGUGAACUUGAAACAAAUGAGUGUUCUUCUAGACCUUGCAAAAAUAAUGGAACCUGUGUGGAUCUAACAAACAGGGUACCAUGGACCUUUGUGUGAGUUGGAUAUGAGUGAAUGUGAAAUCCCACCUUGUCUAGAUGGAGAAGAUUGUGUCAGCAAAACUGGUGGAGACAACUG